rnacentral:rRNA from 1 species
UACGUAGGGGGCAAGCGUUAUCCGGAUUUACUGGGUGUAAAGGGAGCGUAGACGGCAGAGCAAGUCCGGAGUGAAAUCCCGGGGCUCAACCCCGGAACUGCUUUUAAAACUGCUGUGCUUGAGUGAUGGAGAGGAAAGCGGAAUUCCUAGUGUAGCGGUGGAAUGCGUAGAUAUUAGGAGGAACACCAGAGGCGAAGGCGGCUGUCUGGUCUGCAACUGACGCUGAGGCUCGAAAGCAUGGGUAGCGAACAGG